rnacentral:rRNA from 1 species
GAUGAACGCUGGCGGCGUGCCUAAUACAUGCAAGUCGAGCGAACAGACGAGGAGCUUGCUCCUCUGACGUUAGCGGCGGACGGGUGAGUAACACGUGGAUAACCUACCUAUAAGACUGGGAUCACUUCGGGAAACCGGAGCUAAUACCGUAUAACAUGUUGAACCGCAUGGUUCACCAGUGAAAGACGGUCUUGCUGUCACUUAUAGAUGGAUCCGCGCCGCAUUAGCUAGUUGGUAAGGUAACGGCUUACCAAGGCAACGAUGCGUAGCCGACCUGAGAGGGUGACCGGCCAAACGGGAACUGAGACACGGUCCAGACUCCUACGGGAGGCAGCAGUAGGGAAUCUUCCGCAAUGGGCGAAAGCCUGACGGAGCAACGCCGCGUGAGUGAAGAAGGUCUUCGGAUCGUAAAACUCUGUUAUUAGGGAAGAACAAAUGUGUAAGUAACUAUGCACGUCUUGACGGUACCUAAUCAGAAAGCCACGGCUAACUACGUG